CGUGGGAUCGUUUUUCAGCCUUUAUGAAAAUAUAUCUUGCCACUGGAUGCACCUGCUUCUAAGUGGAGGCGUAGAGGCACUUAACGAUUCUUUUAUCCCUGUGAAAAGAUUUUUAAAGUUAGAUAAAGAAUAUAUAAAGAAUUAACUUUGUGCUUUUGAAUGGGAUCGAUUCUGAAGAACAAAUGCAAAGAUUGGAAUACAACGAUGUCGACUUUUCGAAAGUUCUUCGAAUAUUAAUAUUUUAUGAAAAUGCCUUUUUUGAUGGAAAAUAUAUCCUUUCCAUGGUUGGAAAAUAUCCAAUAAGUUUUUUUAAUAAAUUUAUUUAACAAUCAUUAUUGAUUGUUGUGUAUAUAAAUAAUUACAAAAUAUAAAAAUAACAGAAAAUGGAAUGAAAAAUUAAAAAUUUUCAAUAAUCUAACAAAUUUAUUUUAAUAUUCUAAAUGUAUAUCAAAUCAAACAAAUUUCUUAUUUGAAAAUCGUACGCACUGCUUGGUUUCUAGAAAAUUCAGACCAACGGGAAAUAAAAAUUUCCCCAUGAAAAAUUUUUCCUCAUGUUGGUCAUAGUUUCCCUUCUAUUCCUACUAUUCUUUUUCCCCAAUUUUAGGGUAUAAAAGGACUGUAAGAGCCCUCUCAGAAGGGUCAGUUGAACGACAAGUUUUGUACGAUAUCAGGUAUUAAAGUUCCUUCAAUUACGUUUCAAGUAAUUACAUAUAGUAAGUAUAUUAUGUUAUUUCACAUUAUUUUUUGGUUCCCGUUUUUCUUUUUUGUGUGAAAAGAAUUAAAUAAUUCAUCUAGUGACAAUUUAUUUGUAGAUAUCGCGAUCACUACACUGGACAAUUUGUAUAUUAAUUGUACGACUUAUAUAUAGAAUAUAUCUAUAUAUAAUGAAAUCUUUAUAUCUGUCAUUCUUGAACAAACAAACAAUGAAUAUAUCAAUUUUUUUAAUAAGAAUUAAUGAAAAAAAAGGAAUCGAUUUUCAAUUUCAAAUCAGGAUU